AUGCGCCUCGGCUAUCUCAUCCUGGCUGCCUUCCUCAGGCACCCACUGGGCACCAUGGGGCAGGUCACUGUCAGCCAGCAAGAAGGACAAGUCACAGUGAAGCAGAGAGACACCUUCCAGAUCAAAUGCACUUACCAGACCUCCUACAGUCCUUACUUGUUCUGGUACCAGCAGAAGAGCAGCCAAGCUCCCCAGCUGCUCUCAUAUCAGGCAGCAGCUGGCCCCAAGCCCAGCGGCCGUCUGACCACGCUGCUGAACACCACGGGGAGAUACAGCCUGCUGCAGCUGGAGGAAGUGGAGGUCUCUGACAGUGCCUUGUACCUCUGUGCUGUGAGUGACACUCUGGUGCAGGAGCUUGCUUGGCUGUGCAAGAAGCUAUGGGUGGAAUGGGAUAUGAAGGACCUCCUCUUCUCAGUGCACUCUGCUGAUCUUGGAGGCUUCCCUUAG